CCUGCGCCGGGGCAGGAACGGCACAGGGACGGUUUUAUCCGCCGAUCCAACGGCCUCUGCGCGUGACGUCCGCCUAGCAAACCGCUCAGAAGCCCCCGCGCCCAAAGCGCGCGCCACGUGCGGGAGAUGGAAUUCCAAGCCUAGCAACCGAGCAACCCGGACAGGAAGCCCCGCCCCGAACGGAAUUCGUCUUCCCACCGGAAGCCCCGCCCCCGCGCCGGGCUGAGCGCCGGAAGUUCGCGUCCCGCAGGACGCGAGAAAGACACGAGGUGUGGGCAGUUCGUGUUCCCCUCGUUCCCCGCCGAGGCUGGGCUGACUGUUCCUUCCGGAGCUUUUCGAGUCUGCUCCCCGCUUUGUGUCCUCCCUUGGAAGGAGUCGUCAGCUAGCCCGGGGCUGCUGGACGUGGGGGUCUCACACCGAGUAACCUCCCAGCUCUGCGCAUGGAAACUUCGAGAGGGUCAGAGGGCGCGGGAGCCGGGCGGGCGACGUUGCGGCCGCGAGGGGAGGGAGCGGCCGGGCCGACGUCACACUGGGACGUUCCAGCGCUGCCGCAUCCCCGCUGCGAAGUGUGAAAAGCCGUGCGUGGGCAAGGUUGAAAGCGUUCUUCCCCCUCCUUCGUUACCCAGUACGGAGGGAGGCCGCCCGAAAUCCUUACUGUGGAGCCGAGCAACUAUGGUCCCUGGAAAUGUCAACAUUGGAAAUUACUCACAGAAUGUACUAACUCAGCCAGUUGACACCAGCAUUUCUUCCUUCAGACAAUUUGAACCCCUUUGCAAAUUUCAUCAGCCAGAAGCAUUUAAUAAUGAAAUGGUAACAUUUCAAAAUCUGACAGAAGGCUUAUCUUAUACAGAGGAGCCAGAAUUCCAACGUCAUGUGUAUAAUUAUGCAGAAGACACCAAUAUACAGGAAGAUUCAUUUAAGGAAGAAAAUCCAAAGGGAACUAGCACUUCCACAAAUAAAGAUCAACUUGUUCUUAAGUGUGUCAGACAACCUCCUAGAAGGCCACCUCUAAUCCACUGCAGUGGAGAGAUGCUGAAAUUCAUGGAAAUGUCACUGGCUAAUAGUACUGCCAUGGAAUCUUCACUCAACCCUAGUCAACCUCAAGUCUUCUUGUGUGAGGAAAAUUUACACAGUGAUGUUGAACAAGCACUUUAUAAGGAGAAUAGCUUUAACCUGCUUGAUCUGAGAGUUAAUUAUAAAACAGAGGAGAUUGCACAUUCUUCAAAAGGAAUACAGAAUUCUACGGAUAUUCCUGAGAUGUCAGUCAGGCACCAAAAGGAAGUCGCAGUGGAGGGGAGGGAGAGUCCAGAGAUUGUCUCAACUUGGUCUCCGAGAGGCAUUUCUUGGAGUGGUGGAGCAUCUUGGGAGGACUGCAUGACACCCGACAGAGAGCAGAGCUUGGAAAGCUCACAGCCUCUGGAAGAGGACAUGGCUUUAAACGAAGUCCUACGAAAAUUAAAGCAUACUAACAAAGAGCAGCAAACUCUGAUCCAAGACCUACAGCGUCGUAACAUGUAUUUAGAGAAGAAGGUUGAAGAACUGCAGAAGAAGACAACUAAAGAGCACGUGUUCGUGGACAUCAUCAAUAAGCUAAAGGAGAAUGUUGAAGAAUUAAUUGAAGACAAAUACAGAGUAAUGCUAGAGAAGAAUGAUACACAGAAGACAUUGCAGAAUUUGCAUGAGAUUUUAGUUAACACCCAAAAACAUCUUCAGGAAUCCAGGAAUGAAAAAGAAACCUUACAGCUAGAGUUUAAGAAGAUCAAGGGCAAUUAUGUUAGUCUACAGGAAAGGUACAUGACUGAAAUGCAACAAAAAAAUAAAGCUGCAAAUCAGUGCAUGGAGAUGGACAGAGCCUUAAGCAAGAAAGAAGAAGAGGUAGAGAGGCUGCAGCAACUCAAAGGAGAACUGGAAAAGGCCACCACUUCUGCUCUGGACUUGUUGAAAAAGGAAAAAGAGACCCGAGAACAAGAGUUCCUGUCUUUACAGGAGGAAUUUCAGAAACGUGAAAAGGAAAACCUGGAUGAAAGACAGAAACUGAAAUCUAGACUUGAGAAAUUGGUCGCUCAAGUUCAAAAUUUGCAGUUCAUAUCCGACAAUGAAAAGGCUAAGAAUACAGAACUCCAGCAGCAGAUCAACAAAGUAAAAAAUGAAAACUCAAAACUUCAGCAGCAGGUUGCAAGGAGUGAGGAGCAAAAUUAUGUUCCUCAAUGUGAGACAGCUCAACUCAAGGAGAACUUAGAGGAAGGAACAGAGUCAGAUAUGGCAAAGGAUGCAAAGAUGAUACAUUCUAAUUUGUUCCUGAAUCACUCACCUUGUGAAGGAGAGAGCCCGAAUCCCCCAGACGUGAAGAGAACUUCACAGCUGACUUCCAAAAUUCGCAGUCUUCUGGCUCUGAUGGUACGACUUCUCAUGUGCCAGGACAUCACCAAUCCCGAUGCCAGACAUUUCAAAGAGAGUGAGAAAGUUAAUGAUAUCAUGCUACAAAAAUUGAAGAGUUUUCAUCUUAAAAAGAAAAAAUUAGAUAAAGAGCUACUGAAACAUAAAGACAGAAUCACAGCUUUCAGAGAGUUAAUUGCUAAUGAAAAAUCAUUUCAAGAUCAGGUUACAGAGGUUACAGACUUGGAUUCAAAUGAAGCCAAGAAUGUCGGAGAGGUACCUGUCUUACUGGGAGCCAAACUGGAUCAGUACCACAACCUAAAUGAAGAGCUUGAUUUCUUGAUUGCAAAAUUGGGAAAUCUUCUAGAGUCAAAAGAAGACCACCGCAACAGACUCAUUGAAGAAAAUGACAAGUAUCAAAGACAUUUAGGCAACUUAAUAAAUAAGGUUACAUCAUGCGAAGAAGUUAUCGAAUGUGCUGACCGAAGGCUCAUGAUACCGAACUCCCAGAUUGCACAUUUAGAAGAGAGAAAUAAACAUUUGGAAGAUUUAAUUAGAAGGCCCAGAGAGAGCAUCAGAAAACCAAGACUGGGCAUCGAACUGAGCUGUGCUGAAUUCUUCACAGUGAGAAGGAACACGACAAGGAGCAAGGUUGGUUGAGUUUCAUCUUCCUUGGUUUGGUUGCCAGCUGGCAGAAUUACCUUAGAGCAAAAAAAAUCACUGGGCCUGCUGCAUAUUCAGCCAACAGCAAAGGGGAGGAGCUCCCCUGAGUGAAAAGAGGCUAAAGUAGGGACUUCCCUGGCUGUCCAGUGGUUAAGACUCUGAGCUCCCACUGCAGGGUGUGUGGGUUUGGUCCCUGGUUGGGGAACUAAGAUCCCACAUGCCAGGGAUCCCACGUGCCAUGUGGUGUGGCCAAAAAAAAACACCCCCAAAAAUAAAAAAAAAGGCUAAAGUGGGGAGCAGACAUGAAAGUUGCAUUUUCAUUAUAUCGUGGGUCAUGUUUGUUCCGAAUACCAUUUGCAAACAGAACUAUGUUUUGAAAAUCAAAAGCCUUUAGAAGGUUUACACUAUUAUUUGCAAAGUGAUAGUUUAACUAUGAUUUUCUCCCUAAUAUGAAAGAGUAUGAUCUGAUGCCUGGCAUAUUACAGAUGCUCAGUAAUCGCUAGUUUAAACUGAAUGUGAAUCUUCUCUGAGUUGAUGAAAGAAACUGUGGAAUAUUUUUUUCUGGAAUUAUUUUACAAUAAGAAAAUUUGCUUCUAAAUUCACACAUUUUACUAGUUCAGAUAUUUGUUUACUUAUACUUGGCCUAUCUUCACAGUAGAUUGGAGGCCCAUUUAUAUAGAUUUAGAGUGGCCUUGAAGCAAAGGUGUGAGGUGGAGUGGAAGAGCUCUCAGGCCCUUUCUAGCUGAGAAGACCGUUUCUUAGAGAACUUCAGGCUUGCAUCAGCCUUCAGCCCCGCACCAUCCAUGAGCCUCCCCUUGACCGCUGGGCCUCAGUCAAUUCAGCAUGCAAACACGCUUUAGACCACCUCUGCAUCGUCUCAGAAUUCUGGUGCUGCUUUUGCCAGUUGUCUUCAGAAGUGGAAACAGUGAGAAACAGGGAGAGAAAAACUGAGAAGGCAUCCGAAGCCCGUGACCGUGGUAGAUCAUACUGAUGAUCAUUAUAAAGAAUGCUGUAUUCCCAUGUAAUUGUCAAAUUACACAAAAUUAAAGAUGAG